UGAUGACACAUCUCCGGAAUCUCUGUACUUCUUUGAUGAAAAACUUGAACCCUUUCUGAUGACUGCUGUAAAAACCAAAC
rnacentral:snoRNA from 1 species